AAUUAGUGGGCCACACACCAGAGACGACGAAAGAUACCUGCCAGGGUUACUCAGUAUGAAUGGCAACCAUAUAUGAGCACCAGCCGAAGGUAUUUCAUACGACUGCAGACAAAAAACGACAUUAAAAUUCCAUUGGACAAAUACAGCCCUUCUAGACUACGGAGAAAAGGGUUCCUAAUCUUGUCGAACUACCGGGAAAAUCUCAAAAUUAAGAAAGUUGCAGUGUUGACAGCCUGUAUUCGAUACUAUUUGAUCUUGCGGCCAGCAAGGACAGAAUUCAGUGCGGACAAACAGACCCAGUACAUGGAUAUUCGAACUGCACAGACGGAAUUCCUGUGCAAGUCCAGUGCUUUCCAUUCUGCGUCCAAAGGAGUCCCGGAACAAUGACAGGUUCCACCUUGCACAGUACUAUUAAACAUGGCAAUUAGCCCAACAAAAACUAUUGCAUAGAAAAUGUAUGCUGAGACAAGAUGUCUUGAGAAGCCUAAUUUUAAGGUUCGUCGCGACUAAGCAUUUCUGGAUGCAACGCAAUUACCAAUUAUUACACUGUACAAAAUUUCACAACUCUUAAGUUUUGAAAGUAAUGACGUUUUAACAAUUAUAGAAUUAAUAAGGUUUUCAAAAAUGUUAAGACUAAUUGUCUCUUUUUCCUAUUUUAUUUCCAAAGUUACACCGUCCUUAAAUCCCACAUACUGACUUGGUAUCAAAUCUAAAUAUUGCCUUUAGGCUGAACACCACUAAAUCCAGCUCUUCUUUAUUUCAUAUAAAAUCCACUUACUUCAUAACGGUUUUUCGACAUUUUGUUGCAUAUCAGAUUUUCAGAGACUUAUCAGUUGUUCCAGAUUCUAUUUGGUAGUAAUCAGCUUUUAUACAGAAUCUCCAUUGUUUGAUAAAAUAAGUUUCCCACACAGAUUUCGAAAUACUAAAAAUAUGGUCUUUUAUUCAACACCUUCUCUAAAGGUAUUUUAACUAAUGCUACUGGCUGCAAUACAUUCAAGUACAAAAUAUAUUCUGAUAAUAUUGUUUGAAAUAUACUUAAGGCCGAAACAUACGCAAACUAUUCGUAGGUUUAGUGUGGUUGGCGGUACUACUGAUUAUAUCGAUACAAGAAUUCUAUUACCAGUCACCAUCAGAAAUAACAAGAUAGUGUCCACGACCAAAAUAAUAAUUUCCAACUAACAUCCAAAACAUGCCUGUGGUCUGAAAAUAUGAUGAGGAAACCAUUCAUUUUUCCGGCCUUUGUAACUAAUGGUCAGCAACAUAGACACACAAUGAGUUCAUAAAUGUUUCAUAGUAAAUCCGCAUGACAAGAGCAAGGUGAUACAGAAAUGUAAAUAAUUGUUGUUUGUAAAUAUGAUUGUAAAUUUAUAAUAAAAGCGGCGGCUGAAACAUAUGUGUGAUUAGUGUUGAUAUGUGUGUAACAUUUGUAUUUUAUAUAUCCAAUGAAGAACAUAAAGUUGA